AGGUGGGAUCAUACCAUCACUAAUGCACCGGAUCCUAUCAGAACUUCGCAGUCAAGCGUUCUUGGGCGAGAGUAAUACUAGGAUGGGUGACCUCCUAGGAAGUCCUCGUGUUGCACCUC
rfam:Lupinus angustifolius cultivar Tanjil contig_4178, whole genome shotgun sequence.